ensembl:miRNA
CUGUGCACCUGGGGGAGUGCAGUGAUUGUGGAAUGCAGAGUCCCACAAUCACUGCACUCCCCAGGUGCACAG